rnacentral:rRNA from 1 species
AUACGUAGGGUGCAAGCGUUAUCCGGAAUUAUUGGGCGUAAAGAGCUUCGUAGGCGGCUUGUCGCGUCUGGUGUGAAAGUCCAUCGCUUAACGGUGGAUCUGCGCCGGGUACGGGCAGGCUAGAGUGCGGUAGGGGAGACUGGAAUUCCCGGUGUAACGGUGGAAUGUGUAGAUAUCGGGAAGAGCACCAAUGGCGAAGGCAGGUCUCUGGGCCGUCACUGACGCUGAGGAGCGAAAGCGUGGGGAGC